rnacentral:rRNA from 1 species
UGGGGAAUAUUGCACAAUGGGCGCAAGCCUGAUGCAGCCAUGCCGCGUGUAUGAAGAAGGCCUUCGGGUUGUAACGUACUUUCAGCGGGGAGGAAGGCGAUAAGGUUAAUAACCUUGUCGAUUGACGUUACCCGCAGAAGAAGCACCGGCUAACUCCGUGCCAGCAGCCGCGGUAAUACGGAGGGUGCAAGCGUUAAUCGGAAUUACUGGGCGUAAAGCGCACGCAGGCGGUGUGUCAAGUCGGAUGUGAAAUCCCCGGGCUCAACCUGGGAACUGCAUUCGAAACUGGCAGGCUAGAGUCUUGUAGAGGGGGGUAGAAUUCCAGGUGUAGCGGUGAAAUGCGUAGAGAUCUGGAGGAAUACCGGUGGCGAAGGCGGCCCCCUGGACAAAGACUGACGCUCAGGUGCGAAAGCGUGGGGAGCAAACA